AGGGGUGGUUUUGCUCUGUAUGUGAGGGACUCUGUGCUGUUUUGCUAGUUCUCAGGAGGUAGUUAUGAAGAAGGCGAAUGAGAAAGUGCUCCUGCUGGGGGACAUAAAGCUGAUAUUUUGUUGCCAGGAGAAAUGUGUGCCCUCCCCAUCAGAAGGCUAUUUACGCUUCACGGAUCUUUCCAGUACUUGAAGCACAACUAAGCAGCUAGCUCAGGUUUAUUGAGCUGGUGUAUUAGAUUUCCUGCUGCAUGAGCAAGAAGAUUAUGGUGGCUUACGUCUAAGUGUACUUUUGGGAGGCAUUUUGUAUUUUCUCUAUAAAUAGUCUUUCUAAAACACAAUUUUGAAACUAUUAAUGUUUAUAUCACAUUAUACAUCUCUCUAAGUUUACUGUCCUGAGUAUACAGUAUGGUUGCAAGAGGAAAUCUUUUUGUCUAAGAAACGUGUUCAGAAUUGUCAUUGUUAAAAGGCUACUAAAAGGCAGGUUUGUUAUAUUUAUCUUCUUAUCUGUAUGGUAUUUUUGGCUUAUUACACAAUGUCGUUCCUGUUUUCAACAACAGUAAAAUUGCAUCUUUUAAGGAGUUAAGCACUUCAAUAGAAAUUGCAAGUGUGUGAGCAUCCUGGCUAUUCUGUUUGUGUCAGAAAAAUGUCAAAUGAGUCAAUUGCAAUUAUGAGCUCUUCACAGAUAAAACUUAGACUUGAGGAUUAGUGAAGAACUUGUAUUUUACACUGCAUGAACUUUUUUUCAUCUUAAGCAAAAGAAUGCGCUCAUUACAGAAUUUAAAAAAGAAACCCUGGGAAGAUCCUUUGUCCUAAGAUAAAUGGAAAAUAUACGGGGGAGAAGGAAGCAGAGGUAGUUCAUAUGUGUAGUAUCUCACUGAUGUGUAUUCUGUUUUGAGAAUAAUUUAAUGAGCAAUUUCUCCACGAUUUAUAAGAAGAUGCCACAGGCCUAACUCUGGAAGGUCCCCUGGAGCCAUUUAUUCAUCCACACAUGAACAGCCAGUUUCAUUUUUAAAAAUAAUGGAACAUGAGCAAAACAAAUGGUUAGCGUAGUUCUGUCCAGUGCAAUGAGAGAUUAUCAUCUUAAACCACGAUCGUCUGGUGGGUUGGACCCAGCUUCACAUCCUCCUUGGGUUCAGGUGUGGGUGCUGUGUGGGCAGUCUGGCAAUUUACUGGGGCAUGGGCAUUGUUAGCUGGCUGUGCCUCCGGGUAGGAUUUGAGGCAGGCCUGGAGCAGCUCUGGGCCAGGAGGGACAAUCAGUGCCCUCUAUCAGUGCCGGAGCUGGUGCCAAAGCCCAGGUGACAUGGAGGAGGCAUUAGGUCAGAUGAGUUACGCUAAGUGGCAACUGAUAAAUUCAAGAUGACAAUCUGUAACAAUGGUAUUUAUCCUAGUAAUUAAUUCCAGUGGUGCCCGAGGCAGUGCUGGGUUGCUGCAACCAGUGUGGCUGGAGCUGAGCAGCUAAUGAGAAAGCAUUACAGUGAGGACUGAGGGUUGGUGUGUUCUGGCAGGAUGAGGUCACUGUGAGUAGGAAGUGUUAAUGCAAGCUUCGUGUGAUAAACUAUGACAAAGAAACACUGUGUUAUUUUGAGAGGCUAAAAUGCAGGCAUCCUUUGGUGUUUUUUCACAUAUGGUCUGUAGAGUGGCACCACCCAUCAUUGCCUUGGUGCCGACACGUGCACACCAUGCCUGUGCUGGUUAGCUGCUGCAGUGGAGCACAGUUCCUUUCCUCCCUAUCAUUUGUUCUAAUUACUGUUGUCAGGUAGCACUGAACACUCAGCUUAGAGGAAGAAGUUUGGUGGGUGUUACUGAUCAAUAGAAAGAAUGGUGAGAAAAAAACACUUGGGCACUCAUCAUUCUCCCCGGUCAGCAGCGGAGAUGGGACUGCUUGGCACUGGUGUGCAAAGAGCCAAGUGCUUCCAAACACUUCAACUCUGCAAGGUGUGGGGCAAGGCUACCUAAGAACGAUGGCCUAAGUAUAAUGAUUGUCCUGCCCCGCUGCAGCAGCAGCACAGGUCUGACUGGGUCGUGUGCAAACUAAAAUCCACAGUGGAAUUCGAAAAAAUAUUUGUGAGAUUUUCCCGGGCUGUUAAUUCCCCAUAGCUGCCAGAUUUCCGUUAUGAGUAACUACAGGUGCUGUCUUAACAGAAAUAUGUGGGUGACAAAGUGCUUACUAAGUGCUGUUACCAACAAAUCUCAGAAAGUGUUCUAAUUAAGGAGUGAUACUUCAUAACUAUUGUUAAUUGUGAGGAUAUAGAUGAGACGGACUGCGUAUUUUAGCAUUUGCAUUUUUGUUGUCUAAGAUCUAGCAGAUAUUUUAACAUUUUUGCUUUGUUUCCUCUUGUUUCACAUUUAGGUGUAAUGAUUGUUUUCUUCUGAAAGCAUUACAACUACUUCAGUAAAAAUACUUCUAUUUGCAUUCUGUUCUAUUUGUACUGAAGUAUGGUAGAUAAAAGGGUAGAUAAAAAUAGUGUUUAAUCAGAUCAGUAAGACUGCAUCUAGUCUCAAAUGUCAAGUAAUAUUAUUAGUUGCCACGCUUGUAACCAAAUCCUUGCGUUAUCUCAGAAUAUA